AGGCAAUUUGUUGUUGAUGCAACCAAAGGUGCAUCACCAGGUGUUAAUGCAAGUAACACUGGGCAGCACCUGCAUUACGGCAGAAAAGGUAAUGGUCCUGGGAAACAUGCAAAGCUGGAAGACAACAAAGGUGCUACUAGGUUGGGGAGAGAUCAGACACCAAUCGGCGUAUUUGAAGAUGAAUGCGUUUUCUGCCAUUCAUUUAGAACCAGUGAGCCGUGUCAUGGUCCGAUGGUCCGAUGGUACUGUAUCACAAUAGAAGGAUUGUGCCCAGUGACGAGGGCAACCCUACCAACGCCAUCUAUGUUCCACGAGAAAUGCAUGGUUUGGGCCCCAAAAGUGGAAUCCAAUGGUGAUACUUUUAAGAAUGUGGAGAGUGAAAUCAAUCGUUCUAAAAGAUUGAGAUGCAGAAGAUGCAAACUCCCGGGAGCAGCGCUUGGUUGUUAUGACAACUCCUGCAGAAAAAGUUAUCAUGUCCCAUGUGCAAUGAUGAUACCAGAAUGCCGCUGGGAUGAAGUAAGCUUUUGAGUAUAGCUUGUCCUUGAUCCAUUUAUAAACCUAGCACACAACGCGGUGAUUGGGAGAUGGAUCUUCUGUUGCCCAGGGAUGUACAUCUGAUUUUAAGAAUAUCACAUCGAGUCCUGCAUCCCUUUAGCCUCCUCCUCUCCAACGUCCAUGGCUCUGUGAUGAAAUCAAGGUUGACUGAUGUUUGAUAUGAACAGAAUAAAGUCUACAGGUAAAAGGGAAAAUAGAAUGGGCUUCCAUAUGAUGGAUGUACAUGGGGGAAAUAAGUCUGAUAUCUUGGUGUUUCAAUCUCAGAUUAAAUUCUUCAACAAGAUUUAGUCCAGGAGCAAGUCUACUGAGAAGAGCAAGGGUGUCGAUCAUGAAUUUUUGUUUUAGUUGACUGUAGGUUUCAUGUGGUAUGUCUCCAGGAAAUGUAUUUUUGAUCUCAGCUUCUAAUGAUGAAAAGAAGUAGUCAAGAAUAAAAUUUGAUGUCCUUUGGCACCUUACAAGAUGAUAAACAUCAACACUGAUGUUCUGUUGUUCUGAUAACUGCAAAAUAGGAACGCAUGCAUCAAUGGGCAUGAAGGGCGUGGGUUGAAGAUCAAUUAUUCUACAUUGUUUGGUCUAUUUAAAGUCAGCUAUUUAUUUUCUUACGCAUGAAAGAACUUUUCUUAAUGCGUGGGUGUUUAUAGAACAUCGCUGGUCUCUUCAAUGGCAAUCAGUACUCAUUGGUGUUGUCAGGCAUUCAAUCAGAGGUGUGGCAUGCUUCUGACAUCAACGACGUUGCCAACAACGUCUAUCAGCACAAUUCGGCCACCGGUCCUACCGUUCUGCAAACUUGGAUCUCUGGCAAAAACUGAAAAUUUCUUUUUGGGUUAAGCACUAUUGACUUGUGGUGGUAAAUUCUUUUGGCAAGGAAACUUAAAUAUAUUGUAAUGUGAGUAUCUCGACUGGCAUUGAGGAUUAAGAACUUUAACUAUGCCGCCACACUUUGUAGGCACUAUAACUACCAUUCUAGGCAUGUAUAUGCAUGGUAUUCUAUGCAGAAUUUGUUUGCUCAUAUACAGGGAAUACUCACUACAUUAUGAGACAAAGUUUAUUAUGGACUGGUAAGAGUUUACUGAUGAUUCAUCCUAUCAUCCUUAGAUACAAAGAUUAAGGUGUACACAAUUCAAACACUCAUGUUUGGCAUGUUCCACGCAACACACCUGCUCCAUGAAACAACAACAUUGGUCGAGGCUGAAGCACAGGAAGAAGCAGUGUGGGCAUCGCCACAUCCUGUGCGUGAUCGUUUCCACUCUGCCACAUGCGAUGCAGAACACCCCAGGUUUGACAUGUCGUCGCAGUAGUUCAUCACCGAAAGCCAACCCAUUUUUUAACAUCCGCCAGCCAUGUAUUUUAACUUUGUUUGGGACAUCCGCGGCCCAUAAUUCCAUCCAACUCUUAUGAUCCGCAACCGAGCUGGACGAGGAGGCCAGUGCCUUUCUCGCCGUCUUCAGGGUCAUCCCUAGAUGGUAGGCCGAUCUCACGGUGAAGAUCCCAUUUCUGGUAUAGUUCCAGGCCCGGAAAUCUUCUUUGCCCGGCCCCCCCCACUACUACCUGUCUAAUAUCUUGGGCAUCAGACGGAGUGAACACAGCCUGCAGUUUUCCUUCGUCCCAGGCCGUUCCGUCCUUCGAGAGUAGGUCAGCCACCUUGAUCGUAUUCGGUACUUAGUUGGCACCUAGAGGAGUCAUGCUUCCAUUGCAGGGUAUCCAAUUGUCAUGCAACACGUUGAUCUUCGUUCCAGGCCCGGAAAUCUUCUUGUGCUGAUUCAAUUCUAUUACGUAAACAAUAAGUAAUUAAGAAUUCAGAAAUUGCACGAUAUAUGUGAGAUCACUUCCCUAGAAGACAGGCAUAAGAUU